CUUUCGUUUUUUAAAGUGAAAAUAAUAAAGUCAGGUAUUCAAUGGGUGCCGUAAGCCGAAAAUGGAUGAUGAAAUGUUUUUUCGCCAAUAAAAAUCUUGCAAAGGUUGAAACACAGCUCUAAAUGGAGCAAAGGUUUAAGGAAGGCGAUGACCAAUGUAAAAAGCAAGUUAACGUAACAUUAAACUAGGCUUACUAACAAUAAUUGUCCUUUAACAGAAAUCCUAAAUAAC